CACGUAGGGGGCGAGCGUUGUCCGGAUUUAUUGGGCGUAAAGAGCUCGUAGGUGGCUCGGUAAGUCGGGUGUGAAAUUUCGAGGCUCAACCUCGAGACGCCACCUGAUACUGCUGUGGCUAGAGUCCGGUAGGGGAGCGUGGAAUUCCUGGUGUAGCGGUGAAAUGCGCAGAUAUCCGCAAGAACACCCGUGGCGAAGGCGGCUCUCUGGGACGGUACUGACGCUGAGACGCGAAAAGCGUGGGGGAGCGAACAGG
rnacentral:rRNA from 1 species